UGUGUGUGUGUGUGUGUGUGUGUGUGUGUGUGUGUGUGUGUGUGUGUGUGUGUGUGUGUGUGUGUGUGUGUGUGUGUGUGUGUGUGUGUGUGUGUGUGUGUGUUUGUUUAUAUUACAUAGUGGGGUCCACAACACGUUAGCACACUCACAUAGUGGGGACCGAAAACAUAGUGGGGACCAAAUCCCCGGUCCCCACAAUGUUUUGCUUUUAAUCGGCUCAGGAGGCGGUGCUGAUAUGACUAGUGCAGUUUUUUUCUUGAUCCCCUCCAUGAACAAAAACCGGAUUUCUGUGUGUGAGUGUGUGGGGCCGCGCUGCUCUACAGCGCCCCUGUAGCCAGGUCGCGGAACUGCACCUCUAUACACACAUGUGACGUAAUAUAUGAAGGUACACAUUUUUUAAACCGCUCAUGCCAAAGUCGCUUAAUUAAACGACAAAAACAACUUUAAACAGUGUCUGUCAACGGGGAAAGUACAUUCUUUCAGGUAAUUAACCUACUUGUAAAUAUUAUAUUACAUAAUUCAAUAAAUAUACAUCACAAAUUCGAAUUAUUUUUAAGAAUGUUUAUGUGAUGGAGUUUUUUAAUGAGAUUAAUUAAUUAACGUUAAAGUUUUUAUCAGAAUCAUAAUCUUUGAAUAAGGCUAAUGAAUUAUUGCUUAACUUAAAUUUAAUGCUGUUAUACAAUUUAAAGUGUUUACUUGUGCGUGUUACUGCGUAUUGUAAAGUGUUAUAAACUGCGGUGUGGCGGGAGAUUGUGAGACCGCGUGACCUCUCUCAAUUACUGGAACCCGAGGAGCGACGUGAGACGGCCUGUUGAAAUGAAACGGAGAAGAAUAAAACCGUUAAAAGAAGCGGAAGAUCAUGUUCUCCGUUGCAUCGACAAGACCGACGCACUGGAGGCCAAACACAUAAACGAUUAUAAAGGUAGGUUUGUAAAUCACUUCGAUGUUGUUGUGACUGAUUGUGAUUAGCACUACGGCGCUCCCCACAUGACGCGGGAAAUAUAAAUAUAUAACUUCUCAUGGCUAUGAAUUGGAUGUCUUCCACGAAUUAAUUAUGAAACUGCUAACACCAGGGAAUAAAAUAGGAAUUCCUGGCCACGAAUAAACAAGGCAGCGAAAGAUUUCUUAUUUUUGCUUCCACUAUAUAGCAAAGAGCCUAUAGUACUGUAUAGUAAGGCCUAGGUAUUGCUAGCAGCACUGGGUUUCUUAAUUGGUAACGUUAUGUGUGAGUCACAUACGUUUUAAAUAUGAUUUAAGUGGUUCAAAAAUACAAAAUAAGUAACCAUGAUUAUUUUAUGGGAUCUGGGUCCAUUGGGAUAUAAAGGAUAAUGUUAGUGUUGUUUGUUUUAGCAGUUUUAAAUUGCUCUUUGUGAUAGUAUAUGUAAAUUAAUGAAAGAAAUACGCAUGAGCUAUGAAAGAAUGUUGAAUACAUUGGUUAAACUAAUACAAAGCAUAAAAGUUGUUUACAGUUGGCUAACCAUCAACAUAUUAGUUACAUGUCUACAAUGAAUUUUAUUAACAAUUGUAUUUACCCCCCUCCCCCCACCUUUUUUCAGGUCGUGGAGUCUUUGCCUUAAUUCCUUUUAUUAAAGGAGAUUUUGUUGUCGAAUAUAGGGGAGAAAUGAUUAGCUUAAUUGAAGCCGAACAAAGAAGAGAGGCCAAUCAAGACACUUUUUUUAUGUUUGACUUCAUCUGGCAGAACAAGAAAUGGAGCAUUGAUGCAACUCAUGAGGAUGGCACCCUUGGCCGCCUUAUAAAUGAUGAUCACAUAAACCCAAAUUGUACAAUGAAAAGGAUUAUCGUUGAGGGAAAACCCUGUUUGUGCCUAUUCGCUGCAAGAGAUAUCAUUCCUGGAGAGGAACUCACAUAUGACUAUGGAGGAAGUCACUGGCCUUGGAGAAAGCCUCCAUGCAAGGAUGAUGACAACAUGACAGCAAUAGAUAACUGCUCUGAGGAUUCUGU